rnacentral:tRNA from 1 species
GGCCCGGUAGUUCAGUUGGUUAGAACGCCUGCCUGUCACGCAGGAGGUCGAGAGUUCGAGUCUCUUCCGGGUCGCCA